rnacentral:rRNA from 1 species
UACGGGGGGAGCAAGCGUUGUUCGGAUUUACUGGGCGUAAAGGGCGCAUAGGCGGCCGCCGCAAGUCGACUGUGAAAUCUCCGGGCUUAACUCGGAAAGGUCAGCCGAUACUGCGGGGCUAGAGUGCAGAAGGGGCAACUGGAAUUCUCGGUGUAGCGGUGAAAUGCGUAGAUAUCAGGAGGAACACCGGUGGCGAAGGCGGGUCUCUGGGCCGAUACUGACGCUGAGGAGCGAAAGCUAGGGGAGCAAACAGG